UACAGAGGUCCCGAGCGUUGUUCGGAUUCACUGGGCGUAAAGGGUGCGUAGGUGGUGAGGUAAGUCGGAUGUGAAAUCUCCGGGCUCAACCCGGAAAUGGCAUUGGAAACUACCUUGCUGGAGGAUUUGAGGGGGGAUUGGAAUACUUGGUGUAGCAGUGAAAUGCGUAGAUAUCAGGAGGAACACCGGUGGCGAAGGCGGGUCUCUGGGCCGUAACUGUCGCUGAGGAGCGAAAGCGUGGGGAGCGAACAGG
rnacentral:rRNA from 1 species